ACGGAGGGUGCAAGCGUUAUCCGGAUUCACUGGGUUUAAAGGGUGCGUAGGAGGGCAGGUAAGUCAGUGGUGAAAUCUCCGGGCUUAACCCGGAAACUGCCGUUGAUACUAUUUGUCUUGAAUACCGUGGAGGUGGGCGGAAUAUGUCAUGUAGCGGUGAAAUGCCUAGAUAUGACAUAGAACACCGAUUGCGAAGGCAGCUCACUACACGAAUAUUGACUCUGAGGCACGAAAGCGUGGGGAUCAAACAGGA
rnacentral:rRNA from 1 species